AGUAAUGUAUGGGGAUCUGCCUGAUGGGGGGGGAUAACUACUGGAAACGGUAGCUAAUACCGCAUGAUGUCUGCGGACCAAAGCGGGGGGACCUCCGGGCCUCGCGCCAUCAGAUGAACCCAUAUGGGAUUAGCUUGUAGGUAAGGUAACGGCUUACCUAGGCGACGAUCCCUAGCUGGUCUGAGAGGAUGAUCAGCCACACUGGGACUGAGACACGGCCCAG
rnacentral:rRNA from 1 species